GUGUGUGUGUGUGUGUUGGGGCGGGGGGAGGGAUGGAGAAAACUUUGCAACCGUAGCACCUGCCCCAUAAUGAAAGCUCUGGAGACCUGGAGCCCCGGUGAGGGGGAAGGAACAGUUGCUAUUUCCCAGAAGGGUUCAGAGUUCAUUUCUCUCUUGCUUUAGGGAAGUUUCCCUCUGGCACUAAGAGCGAAGGUGCAGCCUGGAGUGGAAGGGAAUUUGAGGUACCCAGGAAGGGUUCUGUGAACUUCAAGCAUGGACAGCUUGCACUUCGUACAUCUGCCACUUGAGCAUGUGUCUGCCUUCCCGUGCUAAAUAGCAUGACUGUUGGAUUUCCCAUCUCCAUUAAAAAAAAUACUCUAGCUUCUUCCCAAGCACACGUAUCUCUUACUACAGCUUAAGUUUUAAAAGAACUGAGGAGCCAUAGUUCACCAUAGAGAGUAACAUGUCUACGGUGUGGAUGGGUACAAGUCAGAUGCGCGGGGGGGGGGGGGGGUUGGGGCCGUAGAACUGUAGUGCAGACCCUUAGUUCAGUAAUACCAGCCCCCUCCCACACCCAUUAGACUUUCUGAGAAUUGCUAGUGAAUCCUAGCGUUCCUGGAUCCAGGUGGAGAACUCUAAGGAAUAGUCAGAGACCAGAGUGAUCUGCACCAAGGAGUGAUUCACAAUGGUCUCCACAUAGAGACAGAUGCUGUCAUCAACACACACACAGUUGUGGCCAACUUAGCCUGCUCUUUUACUGAUGGUAUAGAGUUGUGGUCGAGAAACAGCUCGCACCAACGAUCAAUAUUCUACAGCUAUCCCACUUUCAGAGUGAUUUGGCUCCUUCCUUUUCGCUUCCUGGAGUUAAUACUAACAGACCCGUGGCUGUCCACAGCUUUCCCUGUGUUCUCUGGCUGCCACGAUUUAAACAAAGGUGAAAUCCAGAGUACACCUGUCACACAUGGGUGGGAAGGGAAAACGGGGCAAAGAUGUUCAUUUUAAAUCGUCUUAAGAAUCGCUUCCAUCCUACUUUAAUUUUCGUUGGAUUAAGAAUCAAACUCUGUAAGAUAGGUGCAAUUGUUAAGAUAGCUCAACAGUACUAGCAUCAUUCUUUACUCUUAAACCUUUAGUGUCCAGACACCUUUGAUAGCUUUCCAGCAAAUACCACAUAGUGUGGUAUUUGUGCCAAACAGCAGAACCCCAGGAAAGAUUAUGACUCUGUGAAAAGCACUGCAGCCGGCCUGGGCCAUUCAGAGUGAAGGGAAAGUGGCCCCAGAGCCGGCUGGAAUAACUCCACUUUCCCAGGAGGGGCCACUGCUCAGCCAGCUAGGAGUGAGCGGCAGCAAGCCGCUGAAAGCAGAAACCUUUCAUUUCAGAGUGUAUUUAUCUGGAGGAUGUGAGGCAGUUAGAGAGCUCACGAUUACUAACCACAUGUUGUCAAACACCAGCAUUUUAGAAUCAAAGGGCUGAAAACAAGCUUGCAUCUUGGAACUUAAAAAAAAUAAGUGUAAGAUCUUCCCAAAUACUUGGGUAAUCAAAACCCAAGGCUACAGGAACACCAUCUUCUACCUUUUGUUCCCGAGUCUAGAUACGUUACUUCCCAGAACACCUUCAUGGUGGGAGUAUCUCCAGGAGGAUAAAAGGAGUCUACACUUCCUGAAAUUUUCUACUUGAAUAAAACCACUGUGAUAGGUGACAAACCUCCGAACUAUUUUACCAAGAAAAAUGACUGAUGCUCCAGUAACUUCAGAAUAAAGCACCAACAGUGUUCCCAUGGAAACUGUGGGGGUGGGGAAUGGAUGGAUAUGAUUUGGAUGUAAGCAGUAACUAGCAGUACAUGAUUUUUUAAACUUGGUUAGAUGACGAUGGAAGAGGAGAAGUGGGGAGAUGAGUUGUGGUAGUAGGUGCUGAUGGAAAUUUCAAGACACAUGACAGAGUGUCAUUUAAUGGCAAGGCUGCUUCCUAGAACUUUGCCCUGAUUCUGGAAUCCUAUUUUAUUGCCAGUUAAAGCUGAAUUAGCAGGAACUUCUCCACAAAGCCAUUUAUUUUUUAUGUUAUUUUGAGUUGAUUUCUUGAGUAUAUUUUACUACAUGAUUUACAACCAACUGAAAGAUUAACCAAAAAGUCAAUUUCUUCGAUAGUUAAAAUAUUUAUGAGAUUGGUCAAAACUUCAAAAUUGUGCUUAAAUUAUUCAUUUCUGUGGUCAGUAAGUGGCAAAUGUAAUGGUUUUGUGUUUUAAAAAAUACUUUGGAACUGACUUAAGGACUAAAAAAAAAAAGUAUUCUUUUUAAAAACUAUUUAAGCAGGUGUGGAGAUGAUUCAUCUUGUAAUCUCCGAACUUCAGCAGAUGAGGCAAAAGUACCACCAGGGGCCUUAAGGCCAGCCUGAGCUGCAGAAGGAGACCACAAGUAACACAGACCCAAAAUGUUACAAAUAUAACUAGUUAAAUAGAAAAAUAUUAAAUGUUAGCCUUAGUCAAAACAUUUCAAAGUGAAAUAACUUAGUGAAUUUAACAAACUUGUUAUGUUUUGUUCAGCUCCUUGAACAGGUAUCAUGUAUGGCUGGCCAGCUAUCAACUUACACCAAAGUGUCAACAUACAUCAACCGGCAGAAGAAGAGGACAUUAUGAAGUCACCCUGAGAAAUGAAGGUGAGAAGGCGGCUUGCACAGAAUGACAGAAUGUCAAGGUGUUUUCUUUAAAUCGCCUUUUGUCUCCUGGGCCCAAUGCUUCAAACAUCUGACAUGCUGAGGGAUGUUUAGUUCCCAGCUAAGCCAAGAGUGAAGUUCUCAGUGGAAUAUUCCAGUCAUCUCCAGCCUGAAUCUAGGCCUGGAAGUCAGCGUACUCUACAACAGACCAACUUUCAACACUCUGUACAUAGGGAAUUCUUCUGGGUGGGUAUAUUAAAAGCAUGUAUGUCUUUCAAACCUCAUUCAUUUGGGAAAAGAGUUUUACAAGUAUUAACAACAAGGAGGUAAGCUAUCUUUUACAGGUGAUUUAGUAAGACAAUUAACCAACUUGACAGAAACCAAGUGAAUGUCAAAAAAAAAAACAGAAAAGAAAAGAAAAGAAAAGAAAAGAGAAGAAAGUACAAAAACUAGAGCAACCAUGCAGGAGAUAAUAUUCAUAUGGAAAGUAUUAAAGUGUUGUCUUUUCUGCUUGAUCAUAAAGACUGAGUUUGUUCCAACUCAUCCCCAAAGGUACAAGAUGAAAUUACCUGUUCACUUGUGCAUCUAUCAGUGUGUACGUGUGUGUGCAUGUGUGUGUGUGUGUUGCUUGGGAUUUGUACAUGGUAGGGCAAGCACUCUGCCACUUGACUGCAUGCCCAGCCUUGAACAUACCUCAGUCAUAAGGCACAGUAAGUUUUACUCUCACCUAGGAUAAUAUCCAGUAUACAGGAAUCCUAAAGUUUACUCUAGCUAUUCAAAUGACUGCACAAGAACACGUUCAGAAUUAGUAUUUCCCAGUGACAUUUCUUUGGCUCCAGAUUGUACCACACUAUGUUGGGAUCCCAUAAAACACUAUACCCAUACACCCAGAUGGUUUUAGUUCUGUGAGACUCGUAUCUGUGAGACUGACCCAAACUAACCCUGGUUUGGCCGUGGGGAAGAGAAAAGCUAUUUGUAGCUUUUCUCCUAUAUUAGGAUAGUUUGACCCCACUUUUCCCUCAUUGUUGAUAUUUCUAGAAGGUGCUACAGAGUCACAUGACAAAUCAUUAUUUUCAUGACAAUGAGCACAUCCCUGUGGCGGAAGAAAUGGCUCCGUAUGAUGGACACUUGCUGUUCUAGAAAAAAACAGAUUGUGACUCCCAGAACCUGCAUCCAGCACUUCACAAGUGACUGCAAAUCCAGUUCUAGGAGAAAUAUAAAACCCUCUUCUGUCCUCUGUGGACACACACACACACACAUACACACACACACACACACACACACACACACACAAAUUCAAGGAACAGCACAUGCUGGGUCAGCAAUUUCCUGGGCUUUCUAUUUAAUAGAAGGUAUCAGCAUGUCUGUAUUAUGGGGAUUAUGGGUUUGGUUCUAUGCAGCUCUCCCAUGUAUGAAACAUAACUGACAGCCUAUGUUAACUCACUUUUAAAAUGUCCCUUUUUCCUCUAGUACCUACCUCCUUUUCAUUAAACCAUUACCAGGGGAUUCUGUGCCUCCUUGAGAGCCCCUGUCCUGCCCACUGCAGUACCACGACACCCUGAAUCCCCAUCUUCUCCAUGAUGUUACAAGCAUCAUUCUGUAACAGGACAAUGUUUUUUUGAGCCUUUCCUUUCACACCAAACAUUCUUAGUUCUUGCUCUUUUAUGCCCUCAUGGAAUCCAUCGCUGGCUUCAGCUCCCUUGAGUAAUCUGGUCAGUACUCACAGACCAUGUUUGAUGUCCUCCUGCCUGGGCAUGCCACUCAUUUCCAAUUGUCAUCCCCGGGACUCAGAGAGUAGCUCAUGAAAAUUCUCCUUGUGUCUUUCACUAAAUUUUUAUUUUGGCAGUUUUACGCAUGCUGGCCCUUGGCCUGCUAUUUAAAAUGCUUUUCUUUUUAACUACAUGCUAAUCCUAUAAAAUGCCCCUCACUGUCAUGAGCUCAAACGUUAAUCCACAAAUGUGUAUCUACGGCUCUAAAUUCUGUCUGGAUUCCAAGACUCUUUCUUUCUUUUUCUUUUUCUUUUUCUUUUUCCUUUUCUUUUUCUUUUCCUUUUUUUUUUUAAAUUUAAUGUGCAUUGGUGCUUUGUCUGCCUGUUUUAUGUCUGGGUGAGGGUGUCAGAGCUUGGAGUUAGACAGUUGUGAGCUGCCAUGUGGGUGCUGGGAUUUGAACCUGAGUCCUCUGGAAGACCACUCGGUGUUCUUAACUGCUGAGCCAUCUCUCCAGCUCCCCCUAUCCCGAGACUAUGUUUCUAAGUAUUUCAAACUAGACACAUCUGAAAUGCAAGUUCUCAAUUGGAACUGUCUAGAAACAGCUUCCAUUUUUCUCCUUACAUCUUGCUUCUCCUAACUCCAUCCAGACAUUUGGUGCCCCAGCCCCU